rnacentral:rRNA from 1 species
UACACGACCGUACCGCAAACCGACACUGGUGCGCGAGAUGAGUAUUCUAAGGCGCUUGAGAGAACUCAGGAGAAGGAACUCGGCAAAUUGACACCGUAACUUCGGAAGAAGGUGUGCCUUUAGUAGGUGAAGUCCCUGCGGACGGAGCCCAAUGAGGUUGCAAAAAAUCGGUGGCUGCGACUGUUUAAUAAAAACACAGCACUCUGCAAACACGAAAGUGGACGUAUAGGGUGUGACGCCUGCCCGGUGCUGGAAGAUUAAAUGAUGGGGUGCAAGCUCUUGAUUGAAGUCCCAGUAAACGGCGGCCGUAACAAUAACGGUCCUAAGGUAGCGAAAUUCCUUGUCGGGUAAGUUCCGACCUGCACGAAUGGCGUAACGAUGGCCACACUGUCUCCUCCUGAGACUCAGCGAAGUUGAAAUGUUUGUGAUGAUGCAAUCUCCCCGCGGAAAGACGGAAAGACCCCAUGAACCUUUACUGUAGCUUUGUAUUGGACUUUGAACAGAUCUGUGUAGGAUAGGUGGGAGGCUUUGAAGCAGGGUCGCUAGAUCUUGUGGAGCCAACGUUGAAAUACCACCCUGGUGUGUUUGAGGUUCUAACCUAGGCCCGUAAUCCGGGUCGGGGACAGUGCAUGGUAGGCAGUUUGACUGGGGCGGUCUCCUCCCAAAGCGUAACGGAGGAGUUCGAAGGUACGCUAGUUACGGUCGGACAUCGUGACGAUAGUGCAAUGGCAUAAGCGUGCUUAACCGCGAGACUGACAAGUCGAGCAGAUGCGAAAGCAGGACAUAGUGAUCCGGUGGUUCUGUAUGGAAGGGCCAUCGCUCAACGGAUAAAAGGUACUCUGGGGAUAACAGGCUGAUACCGCCCAAGAGUUCAUAUCGACGGCGGUGUUUGGCACCUCGAUGUCGGCUCAUCUCAUCCUGGGGCUGUAGCCGGUCCCAAGGGUAUGGCUGUUCGCCAUUUAAAGAGGUACGUGAGCUGGGUUUAUAACGUCGUGAGACAGUUUGGUCCCUAUCUUCCGAGGGCGCUGCAGAUUUGAGGAAGCCUGCUCCUAGUACGAGAGGACCGGAGUGGACACACCUCUGGUGUAUCGGUUGUCACGCCAGUGGCAUUGCCGAGUAGCUAUGUGUGGAAGAGAUAACCGCUGAAAGCAUCUAAGCGGGAAACUCGUUUCAAGAUGAGAUCUGCCGGGGCCUUGAGCCCCCUAAAGAGUCGUUCAAGACCAGGACGUUGAUAGGUCAGGUGUGGAAGCGCAGUAAUGCGUUAAAAAAAAAAAGG